CUGACAGAGAGCGUCACGAAAAUGUGCCUACUGAUCGGUCUCAUUAUUGCAAAUCCAAUUUGCACAUUUUACAGUCUGGAUUCGUUAGAGUAGGUUUGAAAUAUUCCUGCCAGUUUUACACUAUAUGCACUCAUAGGCUUUAUGCAAUUUCCUUGGCUUCAUGCUGUUUUUAUUAGAUAAUCUGUUUACUAGUCCUCCUCCAAGUUCAACUUUCCUACAUGUUGCCACUAUCAGCUACAACAAUUGCAAAUACAGUUACCUGAUAAAAGAUAAUUCAUUCCUCUCUACUCCCUACAAAGUGUAUUUGGGAAAACAUAGGAGAUGCCAAUCAAUACCUUGGGAAAAAGGAACACGGUGUUUACUAAAGUGAUCGGCUUGAGGUAAACAGUGAGCUACAGUUUAAACUAGCUGUCAGCAGCUCAUUCCGAAAGGUAUAGUUGGUCUGACUGAAACUGAGAUUCAAAGUCCACAAGAAGAGUUCCCUGUCUAUGCCAACAUACAGACUGUUUUCUUGACACCAAUGUGUUGCUAUGCGUUGCCUCCUCAUCCUUCUAAUCAUAGAAUGGCCUGGGUUGAAAAGGACCUCAGAGAUCAUCUUGUUCCAACCCCCUGCUAUAUGCAGGGUCGCCAACCAGCAGACCAGGCUGCCCAGCGCCACAUCCAGCCUGGCCUUCAAUGCCUCCAGGGAUGGGGCAUCCACAGCCUCCUUGGGCAACCUGUUCAGUGCGUCACCACCCUCUGGGUGAAAAACUUCCUCCUAAUAUCUAACCUAAACCUGCCCUGUCUCAGUUUAAAACCAUUCUAAACCUGCCCUGUCUCAGUUUAAAACCAUUCCCCCUUUGUCCUAUUACUAUCCACCCUUGUAAACAGCCAUUCUCCCCCCCCCCCCCGUUUUUAUGCUCCCUUAUAUGCUCCUUUGUGUAUCAGAUAAAGCCACAGGAGAUAGGAACCCAGAAGGUGUGAUGUUACUGCACUCUCUGUUCUGUGUAUCACAAGCAGGGCAGUGUGCACUUACAACUGGAGCUCCCUGGAGAGCUGAAGUCUGCUUGAACUUUUCCAGUCAAUACAGUUAUAAGACAUUUCUUUGCUGUUGCCUUUUUGCACCCUCAGAAGGAGUUUUUGCUGUCUAACAGCUAGCCAGUUAUGGCAAUCAGCUUUAUCCUCUUUCUUCAGGUGCUGCCCUCCACUCACUCAUCUUCAACAAACAAACAAACAAAAACAUAAUGAAAUGAAGCAUAAAUGAAGGAAUCGAAGAGAAAUCUUCAUCUUGCUUGGUUUUGGCCAGUCCCAAGAACAGGUACAGUUAGUGCCAUGUCAGCUGUGAAACAGCA
rnacentral:lncRNA from 1 species